GGUUAAGCGACUAAGCGUACACGGUGGAUGCCCUGGCAGUCAGAGGCGAUGAAGGACGUGCUAAUCUGCGAAAAGCGUCGGUAAGGUGAUAUGAACCGUUAUAACCGGCGAUGUCCGAAUGGGGAAACCCAGUGCAAUUCGUUGCACUAUCGUUAACUGAAUACAUAGGUUAACGAGGCGAACCGGGGGAACUGAAACAUCUAAGUACCCCGAGGAAAAGAAAUCAACCGAGAUUCCCCCAGUAGCGGCGAGCGAACGGGGAGCAGCCCAGAGUCUGAAUCAGCUUGUGUGUUAGUGGAACGGUCUGGAAAGUCCGACGGUACAGGGUGAUAGUCCCGUACACCAAAAUGCACAGGCUGUGAACUCGAAGAGUAGGGCGGGACACGUGGUAUCCUGUCUGAAUAUGGGGGGACCAUCCUCCAAGGCUAAAUACUCCUGACUGACCGAUAGUGAACCAGUACCGUGAGGGAAAGGCGAAAAGAACCCCGGCGAGGGGAGUGAAAAAGAACCUGAAACCGUGUACGUACAAGCAGUGGGAGCACCUUCGGGUGUGACUGCGUACCUUUUGUAUAAUGGGUCAGCGACUUAUAUUCUGUAGCAAGGUUAACCGUAUAGGGGAGCCGCAGGGAAACCGAGUCUUAACUGGGCGUUAAGUUGCAGGGUAUAGACCCGAAACCCGGUGAUCUAGCCAUGGGCAGGUUGAAGGUUGGGUAACACUAACUGGAGGACCGAACCGACUAAUGUUGAAAAAUUAGCGGAUGACUUGUGGCUGGGGGUGAAAGGCCAAUCAAACCGGGAGAUAGCUGGUUCUCCCCGAAAGCUAUUUAGGUAGCGCCUCGUGAACUCAUCUUCGGGGGUAGAGCACUGUUUCGGCUAGGGGGUCAUCCCGACUUACCAACCCGAUGCAAACUACGAAUACCGAAGAAUGUUAUCACGGGAGACACACGGCGGGUGCUAACGUCCGUCGUGAAGAGGGAAACAACCCAGACCGCCAGCUAAGGUCCCAAAGUCAUGGUUAAGUGGGAAACGAUGUGGGAAGGCACAGACAGCCAGGAUGUUGGCUUAGAAGCAGCCAUCAUUUAAAGAAAGCGUAAUAGCUCACUGGUCGAGUCGGCCUGCGCGGAAGAUGUAACGGGGCUAAACCAUGCACCGAAGCUGCGGCAGCGACACUAUGUGUUGUUGGGUAGGGGAGCGUUCUGUAAGCCUGCGAAGGUGACCUGUGAGGGUUGCUGGAGGUAUCAGAAGUGCGAAUGCUGACAUAAGUAACGAUAAAGCGGGUGAAAAGCCCGCUCGCCGGAAGACCAAGGGUUCCUGUCCAACGUUAAUCGGGGCAGGGUGAGUCGACCCCUAAGGCGAGGCCGAAAGGCGUAGUCGAUGGGAAACAGGUUAAUAUUCCUGUACUUGGUGUUACUGCGAAGGGGGGACGGAGAAGGCUAUGUUAGCCGGGCGACGGUUGUCCCGGUUUAAGCAUGUAGGCUGAUUGUCCAGGCAAAUCCGGAUAAUCAAGGCUGAGGUGUGAUGACGAGGCACUACGGUGCUGAAGUAACAAAUGCCCUGCUUCCAGGAAAAGCCUCUAAGCAUCAGGUAACAUCAAAUCGUACCCCAAACCGACACAGGUGGUCAGGUAGAGAAUACCAAGGCGCUUGAGAGAACUCGGGUGAAGGAACUAGGCAAAAUGGUGCCGUAACUUCGGGAGAAGGCACGCUGGUGUGUAGGUGAAGCCCCUGCGGGUGGAGCUGAGACCAGUCGAAGAUACCAGCUGGCUGCAACUGUUUAUUAAAAACACAGCACUGUGCAAACACGAAAGUGGACGUAUACGGUGUGACGCCUGCCCGGUGCCGGAAGGUUAAUUGAUGGGGUUAUCCGUAAGGAGAAGCUCUUGAUCGAAGCCCCGGUAAACGGCGGCCGUAACUAUAACGGUCCUAAGGUAGCGAAAUUCCUUGUCGGGUAAGUUCCGACCUGCACGAAUGGCGUAAUGAUGGCCAGGCUGUCUCCACCCGAGACUCAGUGAAAUUGAACUCGCUGUGAAGAUGCAGUGUACCCGCGGCAAGACGGAAAGACCCCGUGAACCUUUACUAUAGCUUGACACUGAACAUUGAGCCUUGAUGUGUAGGAUAGGUGGGAGGCUUUGAAGCGUGGACGCCAGUCUGCGUGGAGCCAACCUUGAAAUACCACCCUUUAAUGUUUGAUGUUCUAACGUUGGCCCCUUACCGGGGUUGCGGACAGUGUCUGGUGGGUAGUUUGACUGGGGCGGUCUCCUCCCAAAGCGUAACGGAGGAGCACGAAGGUUAGCUAAUCCUGGUCGGACAUCAGGAGGUUAGUGCAAUGGCAUAAGCUAGCUUGACUGCGAGCGUGACGGCGCGAGCAGGUGCGAAAGCAGGUCAUAGUGAUCCGGUGGUUCUGAAUGGAAGGGCCAUCGCUCAACGGAUAAAAGGUACUCCGGGGAUAACAGGCUGAUACCGCCCAAGAGUUCAUAUCGACGGCGGUGUUUGGCACCUCGAUGUCGGCUCAUCACAUCCUGGGGCUGAAGUAGGUCCCAAGGGUAUGGCUGUUCGCCAUUUAAAGUGGUACGCGAGCUGGGUUUAGAACGUCGUGAGACAGUUCGGUCCCUAUCUGCCGUGGGCGCUGGAGAAUUGAGGGGGGCUGCUCCUAGUACGAGAGGACCGGAGUGGACGCAUCACUGGUGUUCGGGUUGUCAUGCCAAUGGCACUGCCCGGUAGCUAAAUGCGGAAGAGAUAAGUGCUGAAAGCAUCUAAGCACGAAACUUGCCCCGAGAUGAGUUCUCCCUGAGACUUUAAGUCUCCUGAAGGAACGUU
rnacentral:rRNA from 1 species